AACGAACGCUGGCGGCGUGCCUAACACAUGCAAGUCGAGCGCGAAAGGAGCAAUCCGAGUAGAGCGGCGCACGGGUGCGUAACACGUGGAUAAUCUGCCUCAGGGUCGAGGAUAACCUUCCGAAAGGUUGGCUAAUACUCGGUAAGCUUACGGUGACUUCGGUCGCUGUGAGAAAACUAGACCUCUAUUUAUAAGUUUAGGCCCAGAGAUGAGUCCGCGGCCCAUCAGCUAGUUGGCGGGGUAACGGCCCACCAAGGCUACGACGGGUAGCUGGUCUGAGAGGACGAUCAGCCACACUGGAACUGAGACACGGUCCAGACUCCUACGGGAGGCAGCAGUGGGGAAUUUUCCACAAUGGGCGAAAGCCUGAUGGAGCAACGCCGCGUGUGUGAUGAAGGUCUUCGGAUCGUAAAGCACUUUCGACUGGGACGAAAAACCUUUGGCUAACAUCCAGGGGCCUGACGGUACCAGGAGAAGAAGCACCGGCUAACUCUGUGCCAGCCGCCGCGGUAAGAC
rnacentral:rRNA from 1 species